AUUGAACGCUGGCGGCAGGCCUAACACAUGCAAGUCGAGCGGAUGAAGGGAGCUUGCUCCUGGAUUCAGCGGCGGACGGGUGAGUAAUGCCUAGGAAUCUGCCCGGUAGUGGGGGAUAACGUCCGGAAACGGGCGCUAAUACCGCAUACGUCCUGAGGGAGAACGUGGGGGAUCUUCGGACCUCACGCUAUCAGAUGAGCCUAGGUCGGAUUAGCUAGUUGGUGGGGUAAAGGCCUACCAAGGCGACGAUCCGUAACUGGUCUGAGAGGAUGAUCAGUCACACUGGAACUGAGACACGGUCCAGACUCCUACGGGAGGCAGCAGUGGGGAAUAUUGGACAAUGGGCGAAAGCCUGAUCCAGCCAUGCCGCGUGUGUGAAGAAGGUCUUCGGAUUGUAAAGCACUUUAAGUUGGGAGGAAGGGCAGUAAGUUAAUACCGUGCUGUUUUGACGUUACCAACAGAAUAAGCACCGGCUAACUUCGUG
rnacentral:rRNA from 1 species